GACGAACGCUGGCGGCGUGCUUAACACAUGCAAGUCGAGCGGAAAGGCUCCUUCGGGGGUACUCGAGCGGCGAACGGGUGAGUAACACGUGAGUAAUCUGCCCUUGGCUUUGGGAUAAGCCCCGGAAACGGGGUCUAAUACCGGAUAUGACCGGCCACUGCAUGGUGGUUGGUGGAAAGUUUUUUUCGGCCAGGGAUGUGCUCGCGGCCUAUCAGCUUGUUGGUGGGGUAAUGGCCUACCAAGGCUUCGACGGGUAGCCGGCCUGAGAGGGUGACCGGCCACACUGGGACUGAGACACGGCCCAGACUCCUACGGGAGGCAGCAGUGGGGAAUAUUGGACAAUGGGCGGAAGCCUGAUCCAGCAACGCCGCGUGAGGGAUGACGGCC
rnacentral:rRNA from 1 species